GGGGAAUAUUGCACAAUGGGCGAAAGCCUGAUGCAGCAACGCCGCGUGAGGGAUGAAGGCCUUCGGGUUGUAAACCUCUUUUAGCAGGGAAGAAGCGAAAGUGACGGUACCUGCAGAAAAAGCACCGGCUAACUACGUGCCAGCAGCCGCGGUAAUACGUAGGGUGCAAGCGUUGUCCGGAAUUAUUGGGCGUAAAGAGCUCGUAGGCGGUUUGUCGCGUCUGCUGUGAAAAUCCGCGGCUCAACCUC
rnacentral:rRNA from 1 species